rnacentral:misc_RNA from 1 species
GAUGAAGAACGUAGUGAAAUGCGAUAAGUAAUGUGAAUUGCAGAAUUCAGUGAAUCAUCGAAUCUUUGAACGCACAUUGCGCCCGUCAGUAUUCUGGCGGGCAUGUCUGUUCGAGCGUCAUUACGCCCCUCAAGUCCCCUGUGGACUUGGUGUUGGGGAUCGGCGAGGCUGGUUUUCCAGCACAGCCGUCCCUUAAAUUAAUUGGCGGUCUCGCCGUGGCCCUCCUCUGCGCAGUAGUAAAACACUCGCAACAGGAGCCCGGCGCGGUCCACUGCCGUAAAACCCCCCAACUUUUUAUAGUUGACCUCGAAUCAGGUAGGACUACCCGCUGAACUUAAGCAUAUCAAUAAGCGGAGGA